CUCCUGUCUAGCUCUAUUGCCUC
rnacentral:siRNA from 1 species